GAUGAACGCUGGCGGCGUGCCUAAUACAUGCAAGUCGAGCGAACAGAUAAGGAGCUUGCUCCUUUGACGUUAGCGGCGGACGGGUGUGUAACACGUGUGUAACCUACCUAUAAGACUGGAAUAACUCCGGGAAACCGGGGCUAAUGCCGGAUAACAUUUAGAACCGCAUGGUUCUAAAGUGAAAGAUGGUUUUGCUAUCACUUAUAGAUGGACCCGCGCCGUAUUAGCUAGUUGGUAAGGUAACGGCUUACCAAGGCAACGAUACGUAGCCGACCUGAGAGGGUGAUAGGCCACAUGGGAGCUGAGACACGGUCCAGACUCCUACGGGAGGCAGCAGUAGGGAAUCGUCGGCAAUGGGGGAAAGCCUGACGGAGCAACGCCGCGUGAGUGAUGAAGGUCUUCGGAGCGUAAAACUCUGUUAUGAGGGAAGAACAAAUGUGUAAGUAACUGUGGACGUAGUGACGGUACCUAAUCAGAAAGCCACGGCUAACUACGUG
rnacentral:rRNA from 1 species